UAGCCUGUGUUCUCGACACUUUACUGCAAUCUGCUGUGAAAUUGACAGUUCAUUGCUUCUUUAUUUUUUAUUUUUUUAUUGCUCCUUUUGUAUCCAGGUACUACCCAAAAACUGUUUCUGACAAGGAAUGUGAUGCAGGAUCUGUGUUGGUUUCUUGCUAAGUGUUGGAUUAAACUCUGGUAGUUCACCCAGUUCCUCCGGGGACUGCACCAGAAUGGUAGGAAGAGAUUGACAAGAAAUUCCAGAACAAGCUUCAAGAACUUCUAAAUGACAUUGUGCAGAAGACCGUAAGAGAUGAACGCAACCUCAUGCAAGCUUUAAAGCGACUGCAGAUGGUAAAAUGUUCAGAGAGGCUGGAUGGCUGUUAAACAAUGGGAAGGUGCAUAUUCUCCGGUGAUGCUAUGUUGAAGGCAAUGACUAUUCAUAAAUCUGGCUUAAACUGGCACUUGGUGGUUAAAGUUCUCCGAAUAGUCUAUCAGUCUGUGCUUGUCUUUAGAAAAAUUGGCGUUCUUUCUGCGGGAAGUUCAAUAGCAGAUGAAACUGCAAUUUCAGGGGAGUCUAGCAAGUAAACAACAGCAAUCAGCCUCAGAUAUCAGUGCAAAGGAGCUAAGCAACAGCUUUAUUCGAUUAAUGCAUGUAUCAGAGUGCCUCAGGAAUUCAAUUAAGAAAAUA